rnacentral:rRNA from 1 species
UACGUAGGGGGCGAGCGUUGUCCGGAAUUACUGGGCGUAAAGCGCAUGUAGGCGGGCGACUAAGUCAGGGGUGAAAACCGUGGGCUCAACCUACGGCUUGCCCUUGAUACUGGUCGUCUUGAGUACAGGAGAGGGAAGCGGAAUUCCCGGUGUAGCGGUGAAAUGCGUAGAGAUCUGGAGGAAUACCGGUGGCGAAGGCGGCCCCCUGGACAAAGACUGACGCUCAGGCACGAAAGCGUGGGGAGCAAACAGG